rnacentral:rRNA from 1 species
UACGUAGGGUGCGAGCGUUAAUCGGAAUUACUGGGCGUAAAGCGUGCGUAGGCGGUUGGCAAAGUCAGCUGUGAAAGCCCCGGGCUUAACCUGGGAAUGGCGGUUGAAACUAGUCGACUAGAAUCUGGCAGAGGGGGGUGGAAUUCCACGUGUAGCAGUGAAAUGCGUAGAGAUGUGGAGGAACACCAAUGGCGAAGGCAGCCCCCUGGGCUGAGAUUGACGCUCAGGCACGAAAGCGUGGGGAGCAAACAGG